rnacentral:rRNA from 1 species
UUUCGGUAGAGGAUGGGGAUGCGUUCCAUUAGGCAGUUGGCGGGGUAACGGCCCACCAAACCUUCGAUGGAUAGGGGUUCUGAGAGGAAGGUCCCCCACAUUGGAACUGAGACACGGUCCAAACUCCUACGGGAGGCAGCAGUGAGGAAUAUUGGUCAAUGGGCGAGAGCCUGAACCAGCCAAGUAGCGUGAAGGAUGACCGCCCUAUGGGUUGUAAACUUCUUUUAUAUGGGAAUAAAGUUUGCCACGUGUGGCAUUUUGUAUGUACCAUAUGAAUAAGGAUCGGCUAACUCCGUGCCAGCAGCCGCGGUAAUACGGAGGAUCCGAGCGUUAUCCGGAUUUAUUGGGUUUAAAGGGAGCGUAGGUGAACAUGUAAGUCAGUUGUGAAAGUUUGCGGCUCAACCGUAAAAUUGCAGUUGAUACUGCGUGUCUUGAGUACAGUAGAGGUGGGCGGAAUUCGUGGUGUAGCGGUGAAAUGCUUAGAUAUCACGAAGACUCCGAUUGCGAAGGCAGCUCACUGGACUGCAACU